GAGUUUGAUCAUGGCUCAGAUUGAACGCUGGCGGCAUGCUUUACACAUGCAAGUCGAACGGUAACAGGGAGCUUGCUCCGCUGACGAGUGGCGAACGGGUGAGUAAUGCGUCGGAACGUGCCGAGUAGUGGGGGAUAACGCAUCGAAAGGUGUGCUAAUACCGCAUACGAACUGAGGUUGAAAGUGGGGGACCUUCGGGCCUCACGCUAUUCGAGCGGCCGACGUCUGAUUAGCUAGUAGGUGAGGUAAAGGCUCACCUAGGCGACGAUCAGUAGCGGGUCUGAGAGGAUGAUCCGCCACACUGGGACUGAGACACGGCCCAGACUCCUACGGGAGGCAGCAGUGGGGAAUUUUGGACAAUGGGCGCAAGCCUGAUCCAGCCAUGCCGCGUGUCUGAAGAAGGCCUUC
rnacentral:rRNA from 1 species